rnacentral:rRNA from 1 species
UACGUAGGGGGCAAGCGUUGUCCGGAUUUAUUGGGCGUAAAGAGCGUGUAGGCGGUUUGGUAGGUCCGCUGUGAAAACUCGAGGCUCAACCUCGAGACGCCGGUGGAAACCAUCAGACUAGAGUCCGGAAGAGGAGAAUGGAAUUCCUGGUGUAGCGGUGAAAUGCGCAGAUAUCAGGAGGAACACCGGUGGCGAAGGCGGUUCUCUGGGCAUUACCUGACGCUGAGGAGCGAAAGCGUGGGGAGCAAACAGG